GACGAACGCUGGCGGCGUGCUUAACACAUGCAAGUCGAACGGAAAGGCCCUGCUUUUGUGGGGUGCUCGAGUGGCGAACGCGUGAGUAACACGUGAGUAACCUGCCCUUGACUUUGUGAUAACUUCAGGAAACUGGGGCUAAUACCGGAUAGGAGCUCCUGCUGCAUGGUGGGGGUUGGAAAGAUUCGGCGGUUGGGGAUGGACUCGCGGCUUAUCAGCUUGUUGGUGGGGUAGUGGCUUACCAAGGCUUUGACGGGUAGCCGGCCUGAGAGGGUGACCGGGCACCUGGGGACUGAGAUACGGACCAGACUCCUACGGGAGGCAGCAGGGGGGAAUAUUGCACAAUGGGCGGACGCCUGAUGCAGCAACGCCGCGUGCGGGAUGCCGGCCUUCGGGUUGUGAACCGCUUUCGCCUGUGACGAAGCGUGAGUGACGGUAAUGGGUAAGGAAGCAACGGCUAACUACGUG
rnacentral:rRNA from 1 species